rnacentral:rRNA from 1 species
CAGCCGCCGCGGUAAUACGGAGGGUGCAAGCGUUAAUCGGAAUUACUGGGCGUAAAGCGUGCGUAGGCGGUUCGUUAAGUCUGUUGUGAAAGCCCCGGGCUCAACCUGGGAAUGGCAAUGGAUACUGGCGAGCUAGAGUGUGUCAGAGGAUGGUGGAAUUCCCGGUGUAGCGGUGAAAUGCGUAGAGAUCGGGAGGAACAUCAGUGGCGAAGGCGGCCAUCUGGGACAACACUGACGCUGAGGCACGAAAGCGUGGGGAGCAAACAGGAUUAGAGACCCCUGUAGUCCCUGUCUCUUAUAC